CGGUAAUUCCAGCUCCAAUAGCGUAUACUAAAGUUGUUGCAGUUAAAAAGCUCGUAGUUGGAUUUCUGCGGGGACGGAGCGGCCGGUCGCAAUUUGCGACUCGAGCUAGCGCUUUCCCCGCAUCCUGCCGCGAACCGUGCUACCAUUAGUUUGGUGGCGCUGGGGAUCGGCUCGAUUACUUUGAGAAAAAUAGAGUGUUCAAAGCAGGCCACACGCCUUGAAUAAGUUAGCAUGGAAUAAUGACUAAGGACUUUGGUUCUUUUCGUUGGUGUUCGGGACUGAAGUAAUGAUUGAUAGGGACAGUUGGGGCGGUCCGUAUUCCAAAGCGAGAGGUGAAAUUCUUAGACCUUCGGAAGACGAACAGCUGCGAAAGCGUUCCGCAAGGAUGUUCCCUUUGAUCAAGAACGAAAGUUGGGGGAUCGAAGACGAUCAGAUACCGUCGUAGUCUCAACUAUAAACUAUACCAGCUAGGGAUCGGCCAACGUUUAAUUUAUCGACUUGGUCGGCACCUUAUGAGAAAUCAAAGCAUCUGGGUUCCGGGGGGAGUAUGGUCGCAAGGCUGAAACUUAAAGGAAUUGACGGAAGGGCACCACCAGCCGUGGAGCCUGUGGCUUAAUUUGACUCAACACGGGAAAACUUACCAGGUCCAGACAUAGGAAGGAUUGACAGAUUGAUAGCUCUUUCUUGAUUCUGUGGGUGGUGGUGCAUGGCCGUUUUUAGUCGGUGGAUGUGAUCUGUCUGCUUAAUUGCGUUAACGGACGAGACCCCAGCCUGCUAAAUAGCGCGGCCGAGCUUUGCUCGGUGCGAGCUUCUUAGAGGGACCAUGAUGCGCGAUAGCACAAGGAAGUUUGGGGCAACAACAGGUCUGUGAUGCCCUUAGAUGUUCUGGUCCGCACACGGGCUACACUGGCGCCUGCAACGAGCAUAUCAGCUGGCCCGAGAGGGUCUUGGCUAAUCUUUGGAACCGGCGCCGUGCUUGGGAUUGACCAUUGCAAUUGUUGGUCAUGCAACGAGGAAUGCCUUGUAAACGCGAGUCAUCAGCUCGCAUUGAAUACGUCCCUGCCCUUUGUACACACCGCCCGUCGCUCCUACCGAUGAAUGUUCCGAUGAAAUUUUCGGAGAGCACCAGAGAACGGGGCUCCGCCUUGCAGAUCUGGAGGCUCAAAGUCACUUAAAUCUGAACAUUUCGAGGAAGGAGAAGUCGUAACAAGGUAACC
rnacentral:rRNA from 1 species